rnacentral:misc_RNA from 1 species
GAAAUGCGAUAAGUAGUGUGAAUUGCAGAAUUUAGCGAAUCAUCGAAUCUUUGAACGCACAUUGCGCCCCUUGGUAUUCCAUGGGGCAUGCCUGUUCGAGCGUCAUUUCAACCCUCAAGCACUGCUUGGUGUUGGGCGUUUGUCCCGCCUACGCGCGUGGACUCGCCUCAAAGUCAUUGGCAGCUGUUCCCCUUCGGCUCGUAAGCGCAGCACAGUCGGCUCCCGGAGCUCUGGUGGGAUGGCGUCCAGCAAGCUAUAUUUUCAGGCUUGACCUCGGAUCAGGUAGGGAUACCCGCUGAACUUAAGC